rnacentral:tRNA from 1 species
NNUAGGAUGGCCGAGGGUUAGGCGGUGGAUUGUAGCUCCAUAUACAGAGGUUCAAGUCCUCUUCUUAUCA